AUAUAAAGUAAAUGAAAUAAAAGAAAAAGAAAUGAAAAGAAGGAAAGAAACAGAAUAGCAUGAAAAGAAAGAAGGAAGGAAGGAAGGAAAGAAAAAAAGGGAAAACUGGGGAUUUGAAGCUUUAAGCUUUAAUAGGUAACAUCGCACCCGAGACAUCUACGAAGAAAGAAAAGAAGAGGUGGACAAAGAAUAAUUCGAGAAAUUACGGCUUGUAUUUCUAUAAUCUGAAUUUAAUUAUUAAUUGUUAUAUUGUAAUUUAAAUGUUUAUGGUAAGAAAAUUAAGGUAAGUGUAGUAUAUUUGAUAUUGAAUUGAGUAUUUAUGAAGUUAUAAUUUAUAUGAUAUUUGUGUAAUGGCCUAAAUUCAAGGUUAUCAGAAUAGUGGUUUCCUAACCACAAAUCCAAUUUAAAGAGAAA